ACAAUCCCCUUCUUUUUUCCUAUAAGACAAUAACUAAGGCUUAGCAGAAAUAACCAUUAGGUUAUAAGCAUCCUUCUCUCUCCAAAAGUUGCUACACAUUUAUAGAAUUUGUGAUUCCCUUAAUGCUUUAAGGUUUUGAUGCCACAUUGUAGAUAGCGCUUAGUUAAGGAGAAUAGGAUAAAGCAAAACUAAAAUAAGGAGGUAUAAAAUAAAUCUUUAACAAUCUAUUUUCUGGAUUCUAUAGAGGCCGUUAACCAGGAUCAUACAUAGGUUUCAGUCCUUAUG